rnacentral:rRNA from 1 species
CUGAAUGGAAGGGCCAUCGCUCAACGGAUAAAAGGUACUCCGGGGAUAACAGGCUGAUACCGCCCAAGAGUUCAUAUCGACGGCGGUGUUUGGCACCUCGAUGUCGGCUCAUCACAUCCUGGGGCUGAAGUAGGUCCCAAGGGUAUGGCUGUUCGCCAUUUAAAGUGGUACGCGAGCUGGGUUUAGAACGUCGUGAGACAGUUCGGUCCCUAUCUGCCGUGGGCGCUGGAGAACUGAGGGGGGCUGCUCCUAGUACGAGAGGACCGGAGUGGACGCAUCACUGGUGUUCGGGUUGUCAUGCCAAUGGCACUGCCCGGUAGCUAAAUGCGGAAGAGAUAAGUGCUGAAAGCAUCUAAGCACGAAACUUGCCCCGAGAUG